CAGCACCUCAGACCUCAGACCUC
rnacentral:siRNA from 1 species